UAAUGAUAAUUGGAUUAAUUAGAUUGUUUGUCCUUGGUAUUAAAAAUCAUUACUAUGAUUUCAGAUUUCAUCCACUGCAGACACAGAAACAAUCACUCCUGGACCAAUAAACAGUCAACGAGUCUAUAUUGUAUAUGUUGGGACCCCAAACAGCAAUGCCCAAUUGAUUUCCCAAAAAAUAAAGGAUCAGCAAGAUACUAUCAAGGAGCUCCAAAAACAACUGCGAAUACUAAAAGACAAAAGAAGUUUUGCUCAACUCCUUAACACCUUUCAAAGAGCAUUAUACACCCAUUAUGAGAAAGGUGGUGAAAAGUUAAACCAGCCAGAUGUAGUCCAGGCCUUUUGUGAAAAGCAUUCCCCUGGACUUUGGCCAAUGGUCCUAGAGGCCAUAGCACCUGUCCAUGGAUCUGGUCUUAAAAGGAUAGAGCUUCAGAGACAAAGAGUAGCUAGCUUGCUACAUACACUAAGCUAUUUUAAAAAUCAGAAAAACAGCCACAUGGUCAAAGAUUCUGGACUGUUCCUGCACCAAAGAGGACUUUCAAAGAGCGGUCAAGCAAAGGGUUCCAUUUUGGGCUGCAGUGUAUCCAACAGUGCACUUAGAAGACAUAAAAAACAAUUAUCAGAACUCGAAUCAAAUGGUAUACAUGGGCCAUGCCCCGAGACCAGCUGUUCUAAAUGACUGAUGCUAGGAACAUUUCAAUUUCUGAACUUAGUUACAAUUGAAAAAUUUGUACAACUGGGUCAAUUUUAAGUUUAUUUAUUUAUUUCCUCAUUUUAUUUCUGUUCUUUCUUGUUUAACAGUUUUGAUGUCUUUUCUCUUCUAUCAGUGAUAAAAUACAUGUAUAACCAUGAGAUAUUAACACACACACACACACCUAUAUGAAGCUUUUCAAAAUAUCUUUAUUUUCCCGAUUGCAUAAACAACAAUGGUAGAAGAUGGGGAUUUUCUUUUUUACUUAUAUCUGUAAUAAAGAAUACUUUGGAAGUAUUUCACUUAUUGGACUAUUUCACUUGCAGAUAUAAAGGUAUACAACUGGCAACCACUGAAGAAAAGAGAUUUCAAUGAAAUCAAUCACAGUGGUGUAAGCUGACAACAGAAGUAAUAAGUUGUAUGAAACUAUGACCAAGCUGCAUUCCAAAGCUUAUGGAUUUUGAGGCAGAACCUUGGAUUAAAAGUAGUAAAUAAAACUGUUUUAUGAAGAAUAAUUUCUUGUCUUUCAUGACUGACAUUGAGAUUACACAUUGCUCUGUAUUUUACUAUCAUUUGUUUGAAACUGCCUCAAUGAAAAGUAAGUGAAAACUCGUGGCAAUUUUUGAUUUACAUUCUUCCAAAACAGGAAUGCUUUCAUUCUGAUAAAAUAUUUUAAAAUACAAUGUUUUAGAUUAGUCACAUUAAGAGGCAUGUUACAAAGAAACCUCAAAACCUGGUUACAUGCAUGUGUAUAGAAAUAUUUACAUGAAAACCAAGUGUCUAAAAUAAUGCAAAAUAGUGGUGUCCAUUAAUAUUUAAUAUAUCAAUAUAUAACACAUGAUGUGUCAGACUUUUCAAUAUAUAACAAUAUAUGAAUAGUACUUGCAGCGGGGAAAAGGGGUGAUAUGGCUGCAUCAGAAUAAAGCACAUUUGUGACUGAUUACUAUUAUGUGAUUAAAAUAUGAAAGAUGUAAAAUGUAAUCUUCAUCCAGUUUUAGAUCACACAUCGUUCUGAAUGAAUAGAUAAAGUUAACUUCACACUGGGUAUAAAGGGAAAGUAUUGUAUAGAAAAUUAUAUUCCCUCUUGUGGAUUAUUUUGUGCCUAUAGUUCAUCCCUAUGCUUUCAAAAUAUUAAGUGGCACACUUCAAGAUUUUUUUUUUUCAAUUUCAGUAUACUAUUGCAUUUUCAUUAUAUAAAUAAUCACCAAUUAAUACUUAUUUCACAAACAUUCAAGUUUUAAUACAAGUUUUAAUACAAAAUAACAUCCUUGAGAAAAAUCUAAGGCUUCUUCCUCAUGAUCAAUUUUUUUUUCAUGAAAAGUUAUCAUAAAUAAAUCUGGUACAAACAAUACAGAAUACACAUACAAUUAUGCAUGUAAUAAUGGAUAGAAAAAAUGGGCAAAAAUGAUAGC